GGCCCGCGGUGCAUUAGCUAGUGGUAAGGUAAAGGGCGUUACCAAGGCGAUGAUGCAUAGCCCGAGUUGAGAGACUGAUCGGCCACAUUGGGGACUGAGACACGGGCCCAAACUCCUACGGGAGGCAGCAGUAGGGAAUCUUCCACAAUGGACGCAAGUCUGAUGGAGCAAACGCCGCGUGAGUGAAGGAAGGUUUUCGGAUCGUAAAAAGCUCUGUUGUUGGUGAAGAAGGAUAGAGGUAGUAACUGGCCCUUUAUUUGACGGUAAUCAACCCAGAAAGUCACGGGCUAACUACGUGCCCAGCAGCCGCGGUAAAU
rnacentral:rRNA from 1 species